rnacentral:rRNA from 1 species
UACGGAGGAUGCAAGCGUUAUCCGGAUUCAUUGGGUUUAAAGGGUGCGCAGGCGGAGUAAUAAGUCAGUGGUGAAAACCUGCAGCUUAACUGUGGAACUGCCAUUGAUACUGUUAUUCUUGAGUGUGGUCAAGGUAGGCGGAAUGUGUAAUGUAGCGGUGAAAUGCUUAGAUAUUACACAGAACACCAAUUGCGAAGGCAGCUUACUGGACCAUUACUGACGCUGAUGCACGAAAGCGUGGGGAUCAAACAGG